UUAUCAGUAAGACGCCAAGCAUCG
rnacentral:piRNA from 1 species